UCGAGAAUCUUCGUCAAUGGGCGAAAGCCUGAACGAGCGACGCCGCGUGCGGGAUGAAGGCCCUUGGGUUGUAAACCGCUGUCGAGGGGGAUGAAGGCUUGAAGGUACUCCUUCAAGUUUGACAGAGCCCUGGAGGAAGCACGGGCUAAGUUCGUGCCAGCAGCCGCGGUAAUACGAACUGUGCGAACGUUAUUCGGAAUCACUGGGCUUACAGGGUGCGUAGGCGGCCCGACAAGUCAGGUGUGAAAGCCCUCGGCUCAACCGAGGAACUGCGCUUGAAACUGUUGGGCUCGAGUCAGCUAGAGGUGCACGGAACUUCCAGUGGAGCGGUGAAAUGUGUUGAUAUUGGAAGGAACACCGGAGGCGAAAGCGGUGCACUGGGGCUGGUCUGACGCUGAGGCACGAAAGCCAGGGGAGCGAACGG
rnacentral:rRNA from 1 species